GAGUUUGAUCCUGGCUCAGAGUGAACGCUGGCGGCAGGCCUAACACAUGCAAGUCGAACGGCAGCGCAGCAGUAGCAAUACUGUGGGCGGCGAGUGGCGGACGGGUGAGGAAUACAUCGGAAUCUACCUUGUCGUGGGGGAUAACGUAGGGAAACUUACGCUAAUACCGCAUACGACCUACGGGUGAAAGCGGCGGACCGCAAGGCGUCGCGCGAUUGGAUGAGCCGAUGUCCGAUUAGCUAGUUGGCGGGGUAAGAGCCCACCAAGGCGACGAUCGGUAGCUGGUCUGAGAGGAUGAUCAGCCACACUGGGACUGAGACACGGUCCAGACUCCUACGGGAGGCAGCAGUGGGGAAUAUUGGACAAUGGGCGCAAGCCUGAUCCAGCCAUGCCGCGUGUGUGAAGAAGGCCUCGGUUGUAAG
rnacentral:rRNA from 1 species